rnacentral:rRNA from 1 species
UACGUAGGGUGCAAGCGUUGUCCGGAAUUAUUGGGCGUAAAGAGUUCGUAGGCGGUUUGUCGCGUCCGUUGUGAAAGCUUGGGGCUCAACCCCAAGUCUGCAGUGGAUACGGGCAGACUAGAGUCAGGUAGGGGAGAACGGAAUUCCUGGUGUAGCGGUGAAAUGACGCAGAUAUCAAGAGGAACACCUGAGGUGAAGACGGGUUGCUGGGCUGACACUGACGCUGAGGCGCGAAAGCUAGGGGAGCAAACGGG